UACGUAGGGUGCAAGCGUUUGUCCGGAAUUAUUGGGCGUAAAGAGCUCGUAGGUGGCCUGUCGCGUCGGCUGUGAAAACUCGGGGCUCAACUCCGAGCUUGCAGUCGAUACGGGCAGGCUAGAGUUCGGCAGGGGGAGACUGGAAUUCCUGGUGUAGCGGUGAAAUGCGCAGAUAUCAGGAGGAACACCGGUGGCGAAGGCGGGUCUCUGGGCCGAUACUGACACUGAGGAGCGAAAGCGUGGGGAGCGAACAGG
rnacentral:rRNA from 1 species